GUAGAAGAAGCACAAUGGAAAGAGCAGAUCUGGACACCCAGCUGAGAUGAAGAAAAGAGGAAACCCCUCAAGGAGGUCCCCUGAUGUCCUUAUGGAGGGGUCCCUCCCUCCACAACCAACCACCUCCUUCCCACUCACCUUCCUGGCUUCCACACCACAAGUUGCCUCAAGCAAGACGAUAAAUUCAGAGAAAGGUGUGACUUGCCCAGGAUCCUGUUGCCCACAACCUGUAGGUAUGGAACCAGAAGUCAAACAAGCUCAUGUUCUUGUUUUAGACCCCAAGCUUGUGUGCUCAAUUGUGUAGUUUUAUUACUUUCCCUCUGUACCUUCAUUAAGUAUUUUCAGUGCCUAAUUGUCCAUGCUCUGUGCAGGGUGCUAUAAAGGAGGAUUAUACAGGUACAGUGUGCACUAUGACUCUUGUUGACAGCAGCAUAUCAAAAAUAAAGGCUAAUAAGCACAUGAAAUGAUGCUCAAUGUCGCUAAUCAUUAGGGAAAUGCAAGUCAAAACUAUACUGUGAUAUCACUUCAAACCCAUUAGCAUGACAACUAU
rnacentral:lncRNA from 1 species